GCUUGCUUUCUUUGCCGGCGACCGGCGCACGGGUGAGUAACACGUAUCCAACCUGCCCUUUACUCGGGGAUAGCCUUUCGAAAGAAAGAUUAAUACCCGAUGGCAUAAUGAUUCCGCAUGGUUUCAUUAUUAAAGGAUUCCGGUAAAGGAUGGGGAUGCGUUCCAUUAGGUUGUUGGUGAGGUAACGGCCCACCAAGCCUUCGAUGGAUAGGGGUUCUGAGAGGAAGGUCCCCCACAUUGGAACUGAGACACGGUCCAAACUCCUACGGAGGCAGCAUG
rnacentral:rRNA from 1 species